GCCUAGUUAGUACUUGGUUGGGAGACUGAAUGGGAAUACUAGGU
ensembl:rRNA 5S_rRNA 5S ribosomal RNA